GGUGCAAAUGCAUCCUGCAGUCCUGUGUACCAGCAUGGCCCAUCCAUUGCAGCCACUGCAGGUGAAGAGAUAAGGAGAAGGAGCAAGACUUUGAUUGCUGUGAAUACUCAGCACAUGAAGAAAACAAAGAGAGCCAUUGAUCUCCUUUGCUGCUUGGUGCUGUCAACAGGAAUGGGAGCAAACAGCUGCUCAGUCCCAUUUUGUCAGCAAAUCCUGCCCUGAGUAUUAGUUUCAGCUCAUCUAAAAGAGCCUGACAUUAAACAUAAAUCACAGUCAGAGACAGAUGAAAUAAUACAUGUGUAUGUGUCCUCACUCUGGCAUUGUUCUACAGUCCAAAGCUGGGACUUCAGAGUCAAAUGCUUCAAGUUCAGACACAAAACUUCUGGUCUAACCUCCCCACAGUGCCUCUGAAUUGGGCCAGCAUUUUCAAGCCAGAAGGGGCGGCUCUGUCCAGCCUUUAUUUUAGGUAGGACUGAAUUUUGGAAAGAUGAAAUGAAAUCACAUGGCUUUGCCAGACAGCUGACAGUCAAAAAUAAAUGUGUUUCCAUGGGAAAAGGGGAGAAUUUUUAGCAAAUGUAUUAAGGCUUGCUAAUCUCAAACCUCUGUUUCACUUUCUUUACAAAGCCAGUAAUUGCAGAGAGGAUCUGGAGGAGCUGGAGCCACUUGAGAUGAGUGAUUUAACGACUUCCCAAAGACUACGCCAAAGUCACCACAACUUUCCAAGAUUACCUAGGAGGGGAGGCUCUGUCACAGCGACAUGAAGAUGCUGAGCAUGGACAAACACCGAGAGAUGGACCCAGGGCCCAAUUCUACUGAUGCACUCUAGGUUACAACAGCAAUCAGAAACUGUGUCUGUCAGACAUCGCUUCCCUGCUGGCCCUGUUAGCAUCCUGCAAGCAGAUCACAGGGGGACGUCAGGAAGCUUUGAAAAGAGCUCUUGACUUCUUGGGUGCAUAUGCAGUGUGUCACGAAGUGUGGCAGUUCCUCCAACAUUCCCUGCCUGGCUUGCUAAUGAGAACUGCUUUGAUUCAGCAUCCUCUUUGCCCUUGCUGGUAUGUAGAAGGGCUUUUGAUGGCAUCAUCAAGUGGGCUCUGUGGUGCUAGGUGCUGUACAUAAUAAAAGACACUUCCUGCUCUGAAACA
rnacentral:lncRNA from 1 species